rnacentral:rRNA from 1 species
GCGAGGGGAGUGAAAAAGAACCUGAAACCGUGUACGUACAAGCAGUGGGAGCCCCACCACUAAGCCAGUGGUGAACUCCACAUACGCAUCCUUUGCUGAGGAUACGGUUAACGGAGCGAAAGCGACGUUCAACCUCAAAAGAAGCAGAGGGGGCUUAGUGGUGGGGUGACUGCGUACCUUUUGUAUAAUGGGUCAGCGACUUAUAUUCUGUAGCAAGGUUAACCGAAUAGGGGAGCCG